rnacentral:rRNA from 1 species
UACGUAGGGGGCAAGCGUUGUCCGGAUUUAUUGGGCGUAAAGAGCGUGUAGGCGGCCAGGUAGGUCUGCUGUGAAAACUCGAGGCUUAACCUCGAGAUGUCGGCGGAAACCAUCUGGCUAGAGUCCGGAAGAGGAGAGUCGGAAUUCCUGGUGUAGCGGUGAAAUGCGCAGAUAUCAGGAAGAACACCCGUGGCUAAGGCGGCUCUCUAGUACGGUACUGACGCUGAGACGCGAAAGCGUGGGGAGCGAACAGG